UACGUAGGGUGCGAGCGUUAAUCGGAAUUACUGGGCGUAAAGCGUGCGCAGGCGGUUAUGCAAGACAGAUGUGAAAUCCCCGGGCUCAACCUGGGAACUGCAUUUGUGACUGCAUGGCUGGAGUGCUGCAGAGGGGGAUGGAAUUCCGCGUGUAGCAGUGAAAUGCGUAGAUAUGCGGAGGAACACCGAUGGCGAAGGCAAUCCCCUGGGCCUGCACUGACGCUCAUGCACGAAAGCCGUGGGGAGCAAACAGG
rnacentral:rRNA from 1 species